CCUGCACGAAAGGGAAACUGAGGCCUAGAGAGGCAGGGCCGAUCCGAGGUCACCCUGGCUGGGUUGGGCUGCCUGACCCUGACCUUGGGCUCUUCAGCCCUGCACCACACCCCUCUCUCGGACUGGGACCCAUGCACACCCCACCCUCUGGGCCUCCCUGGUCCUGUGUGAGCUCCAGCCAUGGCAGUGUCAGAGGCCGGAGCUCUGCAUCUGCUCUGGUGCUUCCUUCUGUGUAGCCCAACUUGCCCCAGCUCCCUGUUCCUCAGAUGCACCACUUAGACACGGGUGUCUCGGGUUCGAGAGGCUGUGCAUAGGGCACAGCUGCUCUGGGCAGGGAAGGGCUACUGCAGUGUGGGCCCCUCCUUCCUGGGCCGUCUCCUCCCUUAUGUCUCCUGAUGCCUCCCGUCCCUGUCCUCUCCAUCCACCUCUGUCCUCUGUCUCCCAGCCCAGACAUCCUCCUGGCAGGAGAAGGACCCUGUGGGGUGCGCUCUGCCCCUCACCCCCACCCCAGCCUGGGAUCUAAAUGCUCUGGAUGGGACAUCCAAAGGCGUGACCUCCUGUUGGCUCCCACGUCUGGGGCCACAUGUCCCCAGGUCCCACGUGCCCUGGCCAGCGCCCCUCGGGGCUCUCACCCGCCCUCCCUGACUCCCAGGGGAGAGUGUGGACCGCCCCGCCUGCUGCAGAGGCCCGGGCAGCCAGCCCAGAGGGCUCACCUCAUCUAUUUUUAAGCACAAGCCCAUGAAAGAUUCACAGGCUGCUUUAUUUACAGGUGGUGGGAAUGGCACUGCGCCCAGCACACCCACCAGGGGCCGGACAACCCGUUGGCCCGGGUACACUCUGCCCGAGAGCCCCAGGCAUGCCCGGCUUGGACCUCAGUCGCUCUGUGCAGGCUGAGAUCCCGGCACAGCCCGGCCUUUCCGUCCAGCCUCCAGGCCUGGCUCUGAUGUCCUCCCCGGAAGGAGGGAGCCCCUCAGGAGACCAUCCCGAGGCCCAGCUGUGCUGUGGCUGCCCCCUGGCCACACGUCCCAGUGUCUCCAGCUGCCAAGAACCUCUCCCAUUCCCUGGCUCUCGUCCCGGUGUCUCUCCGGGACAAGUGUUUGGGGAGAGGCCUCGUCAGGGCCACGAGCCCUGCCGGCGCAGAAGCUGCCUCCGGUCACACACUGGGCACAGUGAGCGUCGCGUCUCCACUUUACAGAUGAGGAAACCGAGGCUCUGGUGCUUUGGCUAAUUCAGGGUGUAAAGCCAGAUGGACUGGUCUUCAAAGCCUGGCUGCCCUGCUCCGCCAGUCCUUCCUGGGCCACACAGCGCUGGCUUCAUCUCUGCUUCCUGGAAUUGGAGAGGCUUGGCUGGUCCUUCCGUCCUCACCCGCUCCUGGGCUGUGGGCUCCCCGGGAGCCAGCUCAGCUCUCACUGUCACCUGGUGUCAUGCGCUGUCUGGCUGGGUCCCAGUAAAUGCCCAGGAGGACUCUCAGCUGUCCUUGGGCGGGUACAGCCGCAUGGCCACCACCGGCCCAGCACCCCCUGCCCCUGGUAGCUGAGGGCAUCUCAAGGGUCAGACAGGCCGCUGGCCAUCCCUACACAACAGAACCAGGCUCCCAGUCCCUCACGACACCCUUGGGAUAAACCCAGCAGAGCCCAUGCCAGCCCUCCCUAGGAGAGAAGCACUCAUUUUAGAGAAAAUCUCUUUUCUAGGCCGGGCAAGGUGGCUCACAUCUGUAAUCCCAGCACUUUGGGAGGCCGAAGCUGGUGGAUUACUUGAGGUCGGGAGUUUGAGACCAGCCUGGCCAACAUGAUAAAACCCCAUCUCUGUAUGUCUUGUAAUCCCAGCUACUCAAGUGGUUGAGGUAGGAGAAUUGCUUGAACCCAGGGGGUGGAGCUUGCAGUGAACUGAGAUCACGCCACUGCACUCCAGCCAGGGUGACGGAGCGAGACUCCGUCUCAAAAAAAAAAAAAGAAAAGAAAAA
rnacentral:lncRNA from 1 species